GUGGUCUAUUAUUCUCUCCCCCCAGUUUUCAGCUCAAAAAGGCAGAGUACAGAAUGGAUCACUGAAUCUCUUCAUUCUCCCUUUCUCAACAGAUCUAAUUGCUGCCUCUUACUUGGGAAUGGAAUGGAUGAAGCGAUAUGUAUGUGUGAGGGGAGAGGACUAAGAGAGUAUCCUUAACAGGCAAGAUUUCAGCUUCAAAGUCUCCUGUACCUCUCCUCACCCCAGCCUUAGACAACUCAGCCUAACACCAUCAUCGCCACCAUCACCAAUUCACUGUCGUCCGUACCCACCAGAUCGUUCCUGAGACUGCUCCAGUCAUCUCGGGACAUGCGCUCACGCGGAUGCGCCUCUGCUCUGCCCCAGCUAGAGUGGGAGGGAAAUUUGGCCUCGACUGAAAAUAGCAGAGAGUAAACACGCCAAGACAACUGCAGACAUUUUCUGUUGGGACAAAACAAAGAACAGGUACAUUACCCUGCCUUGGGAAUGAAUGAUCACAGAAAGUAACCACGGGGA
rnacentral:lncRNA from 1 species